rnacentral:rRNA from 1 species
AAUGAACGCUGGCGGCAUGGCUAAGACAUGCAAGUCGAACGGACCAUUUUGAAGAGUAAUCGGAUUCAUGGUUAGUGGCGAAAGGGUGAGGAAUAGAUAGGUAACGUACCUUUGGCUUCGGAAUAGCUCAUCGAAAGGUGGGGGUAAUGCCGGAUGAUGUCACUUGAUUAAUUCGGGUGACCAAAGAUUUAUCGGCCAUUGAGCGGCCUAUCUCCUAUCAGCUUGUUGGUGAGGUAACGGCUCACCAAGGCUACGACGGGUAGCGGGACUGAGAGGUUGGCCCGCCACAUCGGAACUGAGACACUGUCCGGACCUCCACGGAGGGCUGCAGUAACGAAUAUUGGGCAAUGGGCGAAAGCCUGACCCAGCAAUGCCGCGUGCAGGAUGAAGCCCCUCGGGGUGUAAACUGCUUUCAGGGAUUAGAAAGCUUCGGUUGAUCAGUCCCAGAAGAAGUCACGGCUAACUUCGUG